CUAAUUUUUACAGAUUGAGCAUUUGAUCAUAGAAUCCAUGGGAGCCGGGAGCCCAAGAGAACCACCAAUAUGGUCAAUGGAGAUCAUGGGCGCCGAUCCUAUGCGCAUUCCCAGUUUUCAACGUUUAAGCCGUCUGGUGGUCUCAUUCUAAUUACUAAAGCAGAAGAGUAUUGUGUUCCGUUUAUGUGCGAACGAAGUAUUUAUUGCAAAUGUAUUAAUACUUACUUGUUUACUCGAUUGCAUACAUAAAAAGGCAAAUGUCCAACCUGUUUUCAAGCACCUGCAGGCUAAAUAAUCAAAGGAACAAUCGCUAUUAAUAAUCAAAGGAACAAUCGCUAAAUAAUCAAAGGAACAAUCGCUAUCAUAAAUGUACAGCAGUGCUACCUCUGGAACAUAUUUAGUUUUUUCAUUACCGCCUGUUGCUCUGUUUAAUUGGCAAAUUAUAUUUAUUUUACACGUAACUAUGAGAAA